UCGUAACAAGGUUUCCGUAGGUGAACCUGCGGAAGGAUCAUUACCGAGUGCGGGCUGCCUCCGGGCGCCCAACCUCCCACCCGUGACUACCUAACACUGUUGCUUCGGCGGGGAGCCCUCUCGGGGGCGAGCCGCCGGGGACUACUGAACUUCAUGCCUGAGAGUGAUGCAGUCUGAGUCUGAAUAUAAAAUCAGUCAAAACUUUCAACAAUGGAUCUCUUGGUUCCGGCAUCGAUGAAGAACGCAGCGAACUGCGAUAAGUAAUGUGAAUUGCAGAAUUCAGUGAAUCAUCGAGUCUUUGAACGCACAUUGCGCCCCCUGGCAUUCCGGGGGGCAUGCCUGUCCGAGCGUCAUUGCUGCCCAUCAAGCCCGGCUUGUGUGUUGGGUCGUCGUCCCCCCCGGGGGACGGGCCCGAAAGGCAGCGGCGGCACCGUGUCCGGUCCUCGAGCGUAUGGGGCUUUGUCACCCGCUCGAUUAGGGCCGGCCGGGCGCCAGCCGACGUCUCCAACCAUUUUCUUCAGGUUGACCUCGGAUCAGGUAGGGAUACCCGCUGAACUUAAGCAUAUCAAUAAGCGGAGGAAAAGAAACCAACCGGGAUUGCCCCAGUAACGGCGAGUGAAGCG
rnacentral:misc_RNA from 1 species